rnacentral:misc_RNA from 1 species
GUGUGUGUGUGUGUGUGUUGAAAUUAAUGAAAAAAAAAAACCCCUUUCUUCAAUUUGUCGCCUGAUCUUUAUAAAGUGUUAACAAUUAAACUCUAAACUUUAUAAAAAGUGAAAUGAAAGGUCAGAGUGCGUGCAAGUCAUGUUCGCGCAUAUAGGUUAAGUGGUUACAUUUUUAUAAAGUUUUGGUGUCAAAUGUUAACAAAGUAAAGGUGAGGGUGUCAAGUGAUUUUUUGGGUAAAGGUCAAGGGCCAAAAGAUGUAGUCGGCUUCAAGUUAAUUCAAGUUAAUUCAACUCAACUAAGUCUUUAU